UGGGGAAUUUUGGACAAUGGGGGCAACCCUGAUCCAGCCAUGCCGCGUGAGUGAAGAAGGCCCUCGGGUUGUAAAGCUCUUUUGUCCGGAAAGAAAAGCAUUCGGUGAAUACCCGGAUGUUCUGACGGUACCGGAAGAAUAAGCACCGGCUAACUUCGUGCCAGCAGCCGCGGUAAUACGUAGGGUGCGAGCGUUAAUCGGAAUUACUGGGCGUAAAGCGUGCGCAGGCGGCUUUGUAAGACAGAUGUGAAAUCCCCGGGCUCAACCUGGGAACUGCACUUGGGACUGCAUGACUAGAGUGCGUCAGAGGGAGGUGGAAUUCCGCGUGUAGCAGUGAAAUGCGUAGAGAUGCGGAGGAACACCGAUGGCGAAGGCAGCCUCCUGGGAUGACACUGACGCUCAUGCACGAAAGCGUGGGGAGCAAACA
rnacentral:rRNA from 1 species